CUCGCAGUAGCAUAGUGGUUAGUGCACAGCUCCGGAUAGGUUGAGACGCGGGUUCGAACCCGCCUGAGAUG
rnacentral:tRNA from 1 species